GAUGAAGAACGUAGCGAAAUGCGAUACUUGGUGUGAAUUGCAGAAUCCCGUGAACCAUCGAGUCUUUGAACGCAAGUUGCGCCCGAAGCCAUCAGGUUGAGGGCACGUCUGCCUGGGCGUCACAUAUCGUUGCCCAAUGCCUAUUGCAGUGUAAUAGGAAUUUCUAGGGCGAAUGAUGGCUUCCCGUGAGCGUUGUUGCCUCGCGGUUGGUUGAAAAUCGAGUCCUUGGUAGGGUGUGCCAUGGUAGAUGGUGGUCGAGUUAGAACGAUACCGAUCAUGUGCAUGCUCCCCAAAAUAUGGCCUCUAUGACCCACACGCGUCUUUUGACGCUCAUGACGAGACCUCAGGUCAGGCGGGGCUACCCGCUGAAUUUAAGCAUAUCAAUAAGCGGAGGA
rnacentral:misc_RNA from 1 species